rnacentral:ncRNA from 1 species
ACAACCGGUCAGAGCACCAUAUGAGUGUGAUGACGUGCUUUUUGUAGAACGAGCCAACGAGUUACGGUAUGUAGCAAGGUUAAGUACUUAAGGUACGGAGCCGAAGGGAAACCGAGUCUUAAUAGGGCGACUAGUUGCAUGCCGUAGACCCGAAACCGGGUGACCUAUCCAUGGCCAGGUUGAAGCGGGGGUAAAACCCCGUGGAGGACCGAACCACGUUGCUGUUGAAAAAGCAUGGGAUGAGCUGUGGAUAGCGGAGAAAUUCCAAUCGAACUCGGAGAUAGCUGGUUCUCCUCGAAAUAGCUUUAGGGCUAGCGUCGGAUAUGAGUAAUGGAGGUAGAGCACUGAAUGGGCUAGGGGGCGUAUCGCUUACCGAACCUUAUCAAACUCCGAAUGCCAUAUACUAUUAGUCCGGCAGUCAGACUACGAAUGAUAAGAUCCGUGGUCAAAAGGGAAAAAGCCCAGAUCGUCAGCUAAGGUCCCAAAGUGUAAGUUAAGUGGAAAAGGAUGUGGGAUUUCUAAGACAACUAGGAUGUUGGCUUAGAAGCAGCCACUCAUUGAAAGAGUGCGUAAUAGCUCACUAGUCGAGAGAUCCUGCGCCGAAAAUGUCCGGGGCUCAAACUUACCACCGAAGCUACGGGCUCAUCGUAAGAUGAGCGGUAGAGGAGCGUCGUAAUCGGGCUGAAGUCGUACCGUAAGGAGCGGUGGACUGAUUACGAGUGAGAAUGUUGGCAUUAGUAGCGAGAUGUGAGUGAGAAUCUCACAGGUCGAAAAUCUAAGGUUUCCUGGGGAAGGCUCGUCCGCCCAGGGUUAGUCGGGACCUAAGCCGAGGCCGAUAGGCGUAGGCGAUGGACAAUCGGUUGAUAUUCCGAUACCACUACAAUCGUUAUUAUCGAUGGUGUGACGGAGAAGGAUAGGAUGUGCUAGCGAUUGGAAAUGCUAGUCUAAGCGUUUAGGGAGUUGAAACAGGCAAAUCCGUUUCAACAAUUCUGAGGCGUGAUGGGGAAGGCCAAAAGGCUGAAGUAUCUGAUUCCAUGCUUCCAAGAAAAGCAUCUAGAGAGAGAAGUAGUGCCCGUACCGCAAACCGACACAGGUAGAUGAGGAGAGAAUCCUAAGACCAGCGGAAGAAUUGCAGUUAAGGAACUAGGCAAAUUGACCCCGUAAGUUAGCGAGAAGGGGUGCCUACGAGAGUAGGCCGCAGAGAAUAGGCCCAAGCAACUGUUUAGCAAAAACACAGGUCUCUGCUAAAGCGCAAGCUGAUGUAUAGGGGCUGACGCCUGCCCGGUGCUGGAAGGUUAAGGGGAACACUUAGCGCAAGCGAAGGUGUGAACUUAAGCCCCAGUAAACGGCGGCCGUAACUAUAACGGUCCUAAGGUAGCGAAAUUCCUUGUCAGGUAAGUUCUGACCCGCACGAAUGGCGUAAUGACUUGGGCACUGUCUCAACUGCAAAUCCGGCGAAGUUG